GACGAACGCUGGCGGCGUGCCUAACACAUGCAAGUCGAGCGGUAACAGGAGUAGUUUACUACUUGCUGACGAGCGGCGGACGGCUGAGUAACGCGUGGGAACGUGCCCCAAAGUGAGGAAUAACUGCCCGAAAGGGUAGCUAAUACCGCAUAUGAUCUUCGGAUUAAAGGAUUUAUCCGCUUUGGGAGCGGCCCGCGUCGGAUUAGGUAGUUGGUGAGGUAAUGGCUCACCAAGCCCACGAUCCGUAGCUGGUCUGAGAGGAUGAUCAGCCAGACUGGAACUGAGACACGGUCCAGACUCCUACGGGAGGCAGCAGUGAGGAAUCUUCCACAAUGGGCGAAAGCCUGAUGGAGCAACGCCGCGUGCAGGAUGAAGGCCUUCGGGUCGUAAACUGCUUUUAUAAGUGAAGAAUAUGACGGUAGCUUAUGAAUAAGCACCGGCUAACUACGUGCCAGCCGCCGCCGUAA
rnacentral:rRNA from 1 species